rnacentral:rRNA from 1 species
GCUUGGCGCGUGCUAAUCAUGCAAGUCGAGCGAACGGAUGGGAGCUUGCUCUAAACCGUCAGCGGCGGAAGGGUGAAUAACCCGUGGGCAACCUGGCUGUAAGAAUGGGAAAACUCCGGGAAACCGGGGCUUAUACCGGAAUAAUCUUUUCCUCCCAUGGGGAAAAGCUGAAAGAGGGGCUCUCGCUGUCACUUAUGGAUGGGCCCGCGGCGCAUUAGCUAGUUGGUGAGGUAACGGCUCACCAAGGCAACGAUGCGUAGCCGACCUGAGAGGGUGAUCGGCCACACUGGGACUGAGACACGGCCCAGACUCCUACGGGAGGCAGCAGUAGGGAAUCUUCCGCAAUGGACGAAAGUCUGACGGAGCAACGCCGCGUGAGUGAUGAAGGUUUUCGGAUCGUAAAACUCUGUUGUCAGGGAAGAACAAGUACCGGAGUAACUGCCGGUACCUUGACGGUACCUGACCAAAAAGCCACGGGUAACUACGUGGCAACAGCCGCGGUAAUACCUAAGUGGCAAGCGUUGUCCGGAAUUAUUGGGCGUAAAGCGCGCCCAGGCGGUUUCUUUAAUCUGAUGUGAAAGCCCCCGGCUCCACCGGGGAGGGUCAUUGGAAACUGGGGAAACUGAGUGGCGAAGAAAAAAAUGGAAUUCCCAUUGUGUGCGGUGAAAUGCGUAGAGAUGUGGAAGAAACCAGUGGCGAAGGGCACUCUUUUGGUCUGUAACUGACACUUGGGGCGAAAACGUGGGGAACAAAAAGAUUAAAUAUACCUGGUAAUUCACGCCGUAAACGAUAUAGUGCUAAAUGUUAGAAAGGGUUUCCCCCCCUUUUGUGGCUGUGAAGCAACGCAUUAAGCACACCCGCCUGGGGGUGUCGGCGCCAGGGUUAAACCUAAAAGAAAUUGAACGGGGGCCCGCAAAACGCGUGGGAGACUAUGGGGUUUAAUUUCAAUGCAACGCGCAAAAAUCUAUACCAGGCUUGUGGCAUAUCUCCUGAAAAUACCCAUAGGAUAUAGUGGUGUCUCCUUUCUGGAAGCAGAGAUGAACAGAGGUGGAGGCAGGUGUUGUUCUU